CCUACGGGAGGCAGCAGUAGGGAAUAUUGCUCAAUGGGGGAAACCCUGAAGCAGCAACGCCGCGUGGAGGAUGAAGGUUUUCGGAUUGUAAACUCCUUUUGUUAGAGAAGAUAAUGACGGUAUCUAACAAAUAAGCACCGGCUAACUCCGUGCCAGCAGCCGCGGUAAUACGAAGGGUGCAAGCGUUACUCGGAAUCACUGGGCGUAAAGAGCGCGCAGGCGGGAUAGCAAGUCAGAUGUGAAAUCCUAGGGCUUAACCAUAGAACUGCAUUUGAAACUGUUAUUCUAGAGUAUGGGAGAGGUAGGUGGAAUUCUUGGUGUAGGGGUAAAAUCCGUAGAGAUCAAGAGGAAUACUCAUUGCGAAGGCGACCUGCUAGAACAUAACUGACGCUGAUGCGCGAAAGCGUGGGGAGCAAACAGGAUUAGAUACCCGAGUAGUC
rnacentral:rRNA from 1 species